rnacentral:rRNA from 1 species
AACGCGAAGAACCUUACCUACCCUUGACAUGUACGGAAGCCCGCUGAGAGGUGGGUGUGCUCGAAAGAGAGCCGUAACACAGGUGCUGCAUGGCUGUCGUCAGCUCGUGUCGUGAGAUGUUGGGUUAAGUCCCGCAACGAGCGCAACCCUUGUCAUUAAUUGCCAUCAUUUGGUUGGGCACUUUAAUGAGACUGCCGGUGACAAACCGGAGGAAGGUGGGGAUGACGUCAAGUCCUCAUGGCCCUUAUGGGUAGGGCUUCACACGUAAUACAAUGGCCGGUACAGAGGGCUGCCAACCCGCGAGGGGGAGCUAAUCUCAGAAAGCCGGUCGUAGUCCGGAUUGUUCUCUGCAACUCGAGAGCAUGAAGUCGGAAUCGCUAGUAAUCGCGGAUCAGCAUGUCGCGGUGAAUACGUUCCCGGGCCUUGUA